GAUAACCCUAACUCAUAUGCAAUUCAUUUUUCUUUGCUCAUCUUGCUUGGGUGCCGCCAUGGUAAUCUGCGUGGGGUUUAGAUGGAGCUUUUCUGGAAAUUUUGCACAGGCUGCCUUUAACACUUGCGUUCUGACUUUAAACUUAGUUUUUACGGCUUGAAAGCUUGAGGAAAAAGGAAGGCCACCAUGGUGCACGAGGAAUCAAGAGACAAGGAGCAAGCUGUAGGGCUGAAGAUGAAUCAACAUCACAACCUUGACCAAGCAAUGAAGGAUAUGAUCUUUCAUUAUAUGUUUUGCUUACUCUAUCUUCAGUUGCAUAGCUUAGAUCUUAUGUGUACUCAAAGUGGUUAGUCAUUCCCACGGCUUGUGUGGGGCACAUUUCAUUUCUCUUUGAAUGAACAUUCUAUGCAUUUUUUUUCUUGCAAUCUUGUGCAUUAUGAACCUUGUUAAACAACCACCUU